rnacentral:lncRNA from 1 species
GUAGAUUCUGAACUUGAAUGUGAUUUUACUGUUGAAGAAUUACAUGAUGCAUUUUUAGAACUCAUGGAAGAACACAAAAAACUAAUCAAUAAAAAUAAAGUUCUAAAAGAUGAAAAUCAGUCUCUUAUCAAAGAUAAGCUGAAACUAUCUAAUAACUAUGAAACAUUAAGUAGGAGAUUCACAAAUGAAAUCGAGAAUCUAAUUGCUGAAAAU